rnacentral:rRNA from 1 species
GCUUCCCUCUGGCGGCGUGCCUAAUACAUGCAAGUCGAGCGAACAGACGAGGAGCUUGCUCCUCUGACGUUAGCGGCGGACGGGUGAGUAACACGUGGAUAACCUACCUAUAAGACUGGGAUAACUUCGGGAAACCGGAGCUAAUACCGGAUAAUAUAUUGAACCGCAUGGUUCAAUAGUGAAAGACGGUUUUGCUGUCACUUAUAGAUGGAUCCGCGCCGCAUUAGCUAGUUGGUAAGGUAACGGCUUACCAAGGCAACGAUGCGUAGCCGACCUGAGAGGGUGAUCGGCCACACUGGAACUGAGACACGGUCCAGACUCCUACGGGAGGCAGCAGUAGGGAAUCUUCCGCAAUGGGCGAAAGCUUGACGGAGCAACGCCGCGUGAGUGAUGAAGGUCUUCGGAUCGUAAAACUCUGUUAUUAGGGAAGAACAAAUGUGUAAGUAACUAUGCACGUCUUGACGGUACCUAAUCAGAAAGCCACGGCUAACUACGUG